UUCUAAAAUACCAACGUUGGCGUUACAUUAAGAAACGCCUUCCUCAAUCUCGUCCUUCUUUUUCUCCACGGCAUUCUACUUCUACUACUGGUGAUAUAAAUUACUUAUCAAAUUAUAAAACAAGCUAUAGAUUCAAGAGAUUCAUUCAUACUGGGUUGGGUUUCAUUUACAGGUGGGAUUUAUGGAGAACCUAGUACGUCUGCAACAAAUCAAACAACGAUAGAAACUCAAUCACUACCUCCAAACAGUAAUGCUGCUAAUUCAACGGCUUCUAGCUCCGGAGCUGAUCUUGACAAGCCUGCCAAGUCGAUCAGAAGCUCUGUAAGAUCUAGACUGAAAUCUCUAAUCUCUGAUGAACUCUACAGAAAGAAAGGCAAUAACCAUCGUCGCACUAACACAUGUCCAGUUCCUCAACAACAACAACAACAACAACAUAAUCCUCAUGAUGAACAAGAAACACAACAAUUAACCUUUGACAGGGUAACCUUACCAUCCCCUUCUGUACCUCGGGUUGAAGACAGUGUCAGCAAAAACCAUGAUGCCUCCUCUAGUUCACAUGAACAUGAUCAAGAGAACGACUUUAGCAGUAGAAAGGAGCUCUCUGAAGCGCUAGACAUGGCAUUCACGAACAAAGAAUUUA
rnacentral:lncRNA from 1 species